rnacentral:rRNA from 1 species
ACCAGACUCCUACGGGAGGCAGCAGUGGGGGAUAUUGCACAAUGGGGGGAACCCUGAUGCAGCGACGCCGCGUGGGUGAAGAAGCGCCUCGGCGCGUAAAGCCCUGUCAGCAGGGAAGAAAAUGACGGUACCUGAAGAAGAAGCCCCGGCUAACUACGUGCCAGCAGCCGCGGUAAUACGUAGGGGGCAAGCGUUAUCCGGAUUUACUGGGUGUAAAGGGGGCGCAGACGGCGAUGCAAGCCAGGAGUGAAAGCCCGGGGCCCAACCCCGGGACUGCUCUUGGAACUGCGUGGCUGGAGUGCAGGAGGGGCAGGCGGAAUUCCUGGUGUAGCGGUGAAAUGCGUAGAUAUCAGGAGGAACACCGGUGGCGAAGGCGGUCUGCUGGACUGCAACUGACGUUGAGGCCCGAAAGCGUGGGGAGCAAACAGGAUUAGAUACCCGGGUA